GACGAACCGAGCGAACGUUGUUCGGAAUCACUGGGCUUAAAGGGUGCGUAGGCGGGCUGCCAAGUUUGAGGUGAAAUCCUCCGGCUCAACCGGGGAAGUGCCUUGAAUACUGGCGGUCUGGAGGGAGGUAGGGGCGUGCGGAACUAACGGUGGAGCGGUGAAAUUCGUAGAUGUUCGCAAGAACACCAGUGGCGAAGGCGGCUCACUGGCCCGGUACUGACGCUGAGGUGCGAAAGCGUGGGGAGCAAACAGG
rnacentral:rRNA from 1 species